rnacentral:rRNA from 1 species
GGGUGAGUAACACGUGAGUAACCUGCCCUUGACUUUGGGAUAACUUCAGGAAACUGGGGCUAAUACCGGAUAGGAGCUCCUGCUGCAUGGUGGGGGUUGGAAAGUUUCGGCGGUUGGGGAUGGACUCGCGGCUUAUCAGCUUGUUGGUGGGUAGUGGCUUACCAAGGCUUUGACGGGUAGCCGGCCUGAGAGGGUGACCGGCCACAUUGGGACUGAGAUACGGCCCAG